rnacentral:lncRNA from 1 species
GACCGUAGCAGCGGAGAGGCUGCGGCGGGUGCGGUGGGCUUAGUCCCAGCGCGGGUGCGGCUCACGGCGCGGGCCCCACUCUUCCGCACCCUGCUCCGGCCUUGGCCACAGCGAACUGAACGCGGUAGCGGCCUCAGGGAGAGGUGAGCGCUCGCGGGCUGCGCGGGGCCUUGGGCCGCUCGUUCGCCCCGCCGGAGCCGGCUGCAGCGGCGGGCGGGGACUCGGGGACUCCACACGUCGGGUCCCGUUCGUUACGUCGCCGGCUGUGUCCGGACCCGGAGCGUCCCUUCGCGGACCCGAGGCCACAGUCUUAUUUCCCACGGUCACCUAACCUGUGUGUCCAGAAGAAAAAAGAACUACCACCUUGGCACCGUGAUGAGGGACUGAAAAAAGCCUGCUGCCCUGCUAGUGACUGGCUGCUUCCUGUCACCUUCCAUCUCCUAGGAGAGCCAUGAAAGAUAUUGCUGUUCUGACUGAGGUGCUGGGCAAGUUGAGCUCUCUGGCCCACAUGGCUUCUGAAGCUAAGAACUUGGGGACAAUGCUUUCUGGAAGCAUUUCUUGGCCAUGCUGGACUGUAACCUUGUUCCUGGUGUGAGCAUUCUUGGAUGCAUCAGGCAAAAGCCCUUGAUUCUGCCAGAAAGAUGAGCAGUAACAGCAAUAAGAGAGCUCCAACAACUGCGACACAAAGGUUGAAACAGGACUACCUUCGAAUUAAGAAAGACCCAGUGCCUUACAUCUGUGCGGAGCCCCUCCCUUCAAAUAUUCUUGAAUGGCAUUAUGUUGUCCGAGGCCCUGAGAUGACUCCUUAUGAAGGUGGCUAUUAUCAUGGAAAACUAAUUUUUCCCAGAGAAUUUCCAUUUAAGCCUCCUAGUAUUUACAUGAUAACCCCCAAUGGAAGAUUUAAGUGCAACACAAGGCUGUGUCUCUCCAUCACAGAUUUCCAUCCAGAUACAUGGAAUCCAGCGUGGUCCGUCUCCACCAUUCUAACAGGGCUCCUGAGCUUUAUGGUGGAGAAAGGCCCCACCCUGGGGAGCAUAGAGACAUCGGACUUCACGGUGAGGUGUGGCAGCGGCUCGCCCGGGGCCUUGUGGCACCGUGGCCUCCAACCUUUCAUCCUGGGCUGAUUGUGUCCUGAGACAUGAGACAGUUUCCUCUUGAGCAGGUGGAGGCUCUGUUGGUCUUCCACCUCCACCAACCAUUUCCCUGUUCCUGGCCACACUGUAGACAUCUCUGCUUUGGCUGCCUCAGGCCGUGGCUCUUGGCCUCACGUCCAUCUCUGUCUCCAACUCAGCUUGUGCUUCUUGCUAAGCAUCACUGAUGCUCCUGUACUCCUCAGGGGACUUUGUAAGGCUUGAUGAGGGGACACAACACGUUUCCUGCUUGUUUUAUUUCUCUAAUGUUUAGAUAGGAAUCCUGCUUAAUGUUUAUUGAUAACAAAAUAUAAAUAAGCCUUCAUAAGACUAAUUUUUGAGAAAAGCAUUUUAGGUGCUUUCUAUAAUAUUGACUACAGGAGUCUGUUUUGAGAUUUUGUUUUGCUUUGCUAUUAGGAUCUCAUUUUUAGCAUAGGAUGUCAGAACAGGCUGGUGUUGAAUCUGUAGUGAUUCUCAUACCUCAGCCUCCUACGUGCUGGGAUUGCAGGUGUGCACCACCACAUCCAGCUCUUUGAUGAUUAUGACGAUGAUGAUGGUGAUGACGAUGGUGAUGACGAUGAUUGAAGUAAAGUCAGUGGAUAAUGCUGGUGCACACCUGCCUUUAAUCUCAGCGCCCAGGAGACAGAGAGGGGGGGAUCUCUGAGUUUGUCCAUGGCCUAAUCUACAGAGUCUGUUCCAGGACAGCCAGGACUGUACAGACAAAAUCUGUCUCAAACAAAACAAAAGUAAUUUUCUAGCUGAUAAUUCCCUUCUCUUUCUUCCUAGAAAAAACAGCUGGCAGCACAGAGUCUAGUGUUUAAUUUAAAAGAUAAAGUCUUCUGUGAAUUAUUUCCUGAAGUUGUGGAGGAAAUUAAACAGAAACAGAAAGCACAAGAUGAACUAAGUAACAGGCCCCAGAAUCUUCCUUUGCCAGACGUGGUUCCUGAUGGGGAGAUGCACCGUGGCCAGAAUGGGAUCCAGCUCCUCAAUGGGCAUGCACCUGCUGCUGGCCCAAACCUUGCUGGGCUCCCACAGGCCAACAGGCAUCAUGGACUCCUGGGCGGCGCUUUGGCGAACUUGUUUGUUAUAGUUGGGUUUGCGGCCUUUGCCUACACGGUCAAAUACGUGCUGAGAAGCAUAGCACAGGAGUGAGGUUCACAAGCCACAACCUGCAGUUGCUGCUGAGGGACACAGGGGCCAGAGCUUGAUGCAGGCGAGACGGACAUGCUGCUGAGCACAGGGUGGCCUGCCGGACUCCUGGGCUUCACUUUUUAAAAACCUUAAACAGAAAGCAAAAACCAAAAUGUGAUCUGGAGGAGAUUGGAGGUUGACAUGGACAGUGCCACUCACGCUUUGGUUUUACUGCUUAUCUCCUGUGUUGUCUUUUGAACCUGUUUAGUAAACCUGUUUUGUUUGUUUUGUUUUGUUUUGUUUUUCAUUUUAUUAGAUUUGGUCACUUAAAAAUAUAAAACGUUAAUGCCUAUC